rfam:Microgenomates bacterium GW2011_GWC1_37_12b TS39_C0016, whole genome shotgun sequence.
GGACGGUUAGCUCAGUUGGCUAGAGCACUUUCUUGACGUGAAAGGGGUCAGGGGUUCGAGUCCCUUACCGUCCA